CAGACGGGUGACAGCAGGGGAGAAUCAGGGACAAUGGGGGAAAGAAGGAAGGAGAGAAGAAGAGGGGGGGAAUGAAGGUCUUCGGAUCGUAAACCUCUGUUAUGUGGGAGCAAAUUAAAAAGCUAGUCCCCCAAGAGGAAUAGACGGCUAACUCUGGGCCAGCAGCUGCGGUAAUACAGAGGUCUCAAGCGUUGUUCGGAAUCACGGGGCGUAAAGCGUGCGUAGGCUGUUUCGUAAGUCGUGUGUGAAAGGCGCGGGCUCAACCCGCGGACGGCACAUGAUACUGGGAGACUAGAGUAAUGGAGGGGGAACCGGAAUGCUCGGUGUAGCAGUGAAAUGCGUAGAUAUCGAGAGGAACACUCGUGGCGAAGGCGGGUUCCUGGACAUUAACUGACGCUGAGGCACGAAGGCCAGGGGAGCGAAAGGGAUUAGAUACCCCUGUAGUC
rnacentral:rRNA from 1 species